GACGAACCGUGCGAACGUUGUUCGGAAUCACUGGGCUUAAAGGGCGCGUAGGCGGGUGGUCAAGUCAGGGGUGAAAUCUUUCAGCUCAACUGGAAAACAGCUUCUGAUACUGGCCGUCUUGAGGGGGGUAGUGGCAUGUGGAACUUCCGGUGGAGCGGUGAAAUGCGUAGAUAUCGGAAGGAACGCCGGUGGCGAAAGCGACGUGCUGGACCCUUUCUGACGCUGAGGCGCGAAAGCCAGGGGAGCAAACGGG
rnacentral:rRNA from 1 species